CCUACGGGAGGCAGCAGUGGGGAAUUUUGGACAAUGGGCGCAAGCCUGAUCCAGCCAUGCCGCGUGUGGGAAGAAGGCCUUCGGGUUGUAAACCACUUUUGUCAGGGAAGAAACGGCUCUUACUAAUAUUAGGGGCUAAUGACGGUACCUGAAGAAUAAGCACCGGCUAACUACGUGCCAGCAGCCGCGGUAAUACGUAGGGUGCAAGCGUUAAUCGGAAUUACUGGGCGUAAAGCGUGCGCAGGCGGCUUUGCAAGACAGAUGUGAAAUCCCCGGGCUCAACCUGGGAACCGCAUUUGUGACUGCAUGGCUAGAGUACGGUAGAGGGGGAUGGAAUUCCGCGUGUAGCAGUGAAAUGCGUAGAUAUGCGGAGGAACACCGAUGGCGAAGGCAAUCCCCUGGACCUGUACUGACGCUCAUGCACGAAAGCGUGGGGAGCAAACAGGAUUAGAUACCCUGGUAGUCCACGCCCUAAACGAUGUCAACUGGUUGUUGGACGGCUUGCUGUUCAGUAACGAAGCUAACGCGUGAAGUUGACCGCCUGGGGAGUACGGCCGCAAGGUUGAAACUUAAAGGAAUUGACGG
rnacentral:rRNA from 1 species